rnacentral:rRNA from 1 species
AGAGUUUGAUUCUGGCUCAGGAUGAACCCUAGUGGCAGCGCUUAACACAUGCAAGUCGAGGGGCAGCGGGGAGGAAGCUUGCUUUCUCCGCCGGCGACCGGCGCACGGGUGAAGUAACACGUAUGCAACCUGCCCCUGUCAGGGGGACAACCCGCCGAAAGGCGGGCUAAACCCGCGUACAUGCCACCGGGGCAUCCCGGAGGCAGGAAAGGCUUCGGCCGGACAGGGAUGGGCAUGCGGCGCAUUAGGCAGUAGGCGGGGUAACGGCCCACCUAACCGACGAUGCGUAGGGGUUCUGAGAGGAAGGUCCCCCACACUGGUACCGAGACACGGACCAGACUCCUACGGGAGGCAGCAGUGAGGAAUAUUGGUCAAUGGUCGGGAGACUGGACCAGCCAAGCCGCGUGAGGGAUGAAGGUACAGAGUAUCGUAAACCUCUUUUGUCAGGGAACAAAGGCGGGGACGCGUCCCCGGAUGAGUGUACCUGAAGAAAAAGCAUCGGCUAACUCCGUGCCAGCAGCCGCGGUAAUACGGAGGAUGCGAGCGUUAUCCGGAUUUAUUGGGUUUAAAGGGUGCGCAGGCGGUCUGUUAAGUCAGCGGUCAAAGCCCGGGGCUCAACCCCGGCCCGCCGUUGAAACUGGCAGUCUCGAGUUGGAGAGAAGUAUGCGGAAUGCGCGGUGUAGCGGUGAAAUGCAUAGAUAUCGCGCAGAACUCCGAUUGCGAAGGCAGCAUGCCGGCUCCACACUGACGCUGAGGCACGAAAGCGUGGGGUAUCGAACAGGAUUAGAUACCCUGGUAGUCCACGCAGUAAACGAUGAAUGCUGGCUGUCCGGGGGGAUUGACCCCUGGGUGGCGAAGCGAAAGCGAUAAGCAUUCCACCUGGGGAGUACGCCGGCAACGGUGAAACUCAAAGGAAUUGACGGGGGCCCGCACAAGCGGAGGAACAUGUGGUUUAAUUCGAUGAUACGCGAGGAACCUUACCCGGGCUCAAACGGGGAGUGACUCAGGCAGAGACGCCUGUUUCCCACGGGACACUCCCCGAGGUGCUGCAUGGUUGUCGUCAGCUCGUGCCGUGAGGUGUCGGCUUAAGUGCCAUAACGAGCGCAACCCCCGCGUGCAGUUGCUAACAGAUAACGCUGAGGACUCUGCACGGACUGCCGGCGCAAGCCGCGAGGAAGGCGGGGAUGACGUCAAAUCAGCACGGCCCUUACGUCCGGGGCGACACACGUGUUACAAUGGGUGGUACAGCGGGAAGCCAGGCGGCGACGCCGAGCGGAACCCGAAAUCCACUCUCAGUUCGGAUCGGAGUCUGCAACCCGACUCCGUGAAGCUGGAUUCGCUAGUAAUCGCGCAUCAGCCAUGGCGCGGUGAAUACGUUCCCGGGCCUUGCACACACCGCCCGUCAAG